rnacentral:misc_RNA from 1 species
UAACAAGGUUUCCGUAGGUGAACCUGCGGAAGGAUCAUUAAUAAAUUUUUUUUUGAAAUAAAAAAAAAUAAUAAUCAUCCUACCCUUUGUGAAUUUGUUUUGUUGAAUAAUUUUUUAAAAUUAUUUAUUGUCUAUCCAAGUUGGAAAGUUGUAAAAGACUCGAAACUUGGAGCGGCAUAAAUAAGUUAAAGACUUUUUUCUAAAUUAAACUUUUGUAUUCAUUGUCUAAAAUAAUUUUUAUAAUUUAUAAAAACAACUUUCGACAAUGGAUCUCUUUGGUUCUCGCAACGAUGAAGAACGCAGCAAAAUGCGAUAAGUUAAUGUGAAUUGCAGAAUACGUGAAUCAUCGAAUCUUCGAACGCAUAUUGCACUUUUUUAGUUUACUAAAAAAGUAUGUCUGUUUGAGUAUCAGUAAAAUAUUCUCAUAAAAUUUUAAUUUUAUGGUUAUGAGUGUUUUACAACGAUAAACAAGUUGUUUCACUUUAAAUUGAAUUUUUGAAGAAAUUCUUUAAUUCAAAUUAAAUUGGAUAAAAUUUCCCGUAAAAGGAAUAACUAUACAAGUUUAAUAAGAAUUUGGAUUUCUUUUAUAAAAGGAAAUUUAUUAAAUAACUUGAUCUCAAAUCAGAUAAGAGUACCCGCUGAACUUAAGCAUCAAUAAGCGGAGGAAAAGAACUAACAAGGAUCCCUAGUAACGGCGAGUGAAGCGGGAAGAGCUCAAAUUUGAAAUCUUAAAGGGUUUCCCUUACGAAUGUAGUUAAAGAAGUGUUUUCUGUUGAGGUUUUGGUAAAAGUUUUUGGAAUAGGACAUCAUAGAGGUGAGAAUCCCGUAUUUGACCUUUACUUUCAACUUUGUGAUACACUUUCAAAGAGUCGGAUUGUUUGGGAAUGCAGUCCAAAAUGGGUGGUAAAUUUCAUCUAAAGCUAAAUAUUAGCGAGAGACCGAUAGCGAACAAGUACCGUGAGGGAAAGAUGAAAAGAACUUUGAAAAGAGAGUUAAACAGUACGUGAAAUUGUCAAAAGGAAGCGUUUGACACAGUGUUGUUUUUCUGAAAAUCAAUUAAAGACUGUUUAUGCUAAGUUGUUUAGACUUUAUCAGCUAUCUGCUUAGUUUUGAGCUUUUCUUUAAUGCACUUUCAGUUAACAAGUCAACAUCAAUUUCUUUUGCUGUAAAAAGCUUGAGGAAGGUGGUUGAGAUUCGUCUUAAGUGUUUAUAGCCUCUUGCCUAUGCAGUCGGAGAGAUUGAGUCUGCAGCGUAGAUCCUCGGGCUAAAUGCAUUUGUGCUAAGUUAUAGCAUUUAUAGACAACUUGUUGACUAUAUUUGUCUUGUAGCUUACUCGCUUAUGUUAUUUUACCUACGCUUAGGAUGUUGAC